rnacentral:rRNA from 1 species
AUACGGAGGGGGCUAGCGUUGUUCGGAUUUACUGGGCGUAAAGCGCGCGUAGGCGGUAUAUCAAGUUAGGCGUGAAAGCCCCGGGCUCAACCCGGGAACUGCGCUUAUUACUGAUAAACUAGAGUCCGGGAGAGGGUGGCGGAAUUCCCAGUGUAGAGGUGAAAUUCGUAGAUAUUGGGAAGAACACCAGUUGCGAAGGCGGCCACCUGGACCGGUACUGACGCUGAGGUGCGAAAGCGUGGGGAGCAAACAGGAUUAGAAACCCCUGUAGUCC